CCUACGGGGGACAGCAGUGGGGAAUAUUGGUCAAUGGGCGCAAGCCUGACCCAGCAACGCCGCGUGACGGAAGAAGGCUUUCGGGUUGUAAACUUCUUUUCUCAGGGACGAAGAAAGUGACGGUACCUGAGGAAUAAGCCACGGCUAAAUACGUGCCAGCAGCCGCCGUAAUACGUAGGUGGCAAGCGUUCUCCGGAUUUACUGGGUGUAAAGGGCGUGUAGGCGGGGAAGCAAGUCAGAUGUGAAAACCACGGGCUCAAACUGCGGCCUGCAUUUGAAACUGUUUUUCUUGAGUACUGGAGAGGCAGACGGAAUUCCUAGUGUAGCGGUGAAAUGCGUAGAUAUUAGGAGGAACACCAGUGGCGAAGGCGGUAUGCGGGACAGCAACUGACGCUGAGGCGCGAAAGCGUGGGUAGCAAACAGGAUUAGAUACCCCUGUAGUC
rnacentral:rRNA from 1 species